AGCAGAGAUGGCUUUGUUUAAGGCUGGGAGACAACCAGGCAGAACUUGGCUUCCUUCACCAUUAGAAGCAGUUGGCCUGACUUAGGAGGUAUCAGAAUUGGAAUGGAGAGAAAGUGGUUCCUGGCAGCCUCAGGACCUUGCUGGGCCCCCAGGAUGGACUGGAAAUGUCCAGGUACUGACCAGCCUUUGGGAAUAGAUGAAAGAAGGGGUUGAUCUUCAGGCUUGAAUUCUGCCUCAACACAGCCCUUCCUCCUUUUGAGGUGCCCAACAAAGAGAGCUAUCAACCUGGAGCUUCUAAUGUAAAAGAUCCUGGAGCUGGCAGAGUUGACAAAAGACACCAGGGCAGGCACUGCAAACCCAGCGAACCCACAAAACGAACCGAAGAUGAUUCAAGAAAACAUGUCAGAGAGGGUCUGCCAAGAUGUUGGGUCACAUCAAGUCUGGGAUCCAUCAACAGAGAUCUACAGUGUGGAGCAGUGGAGGCUGCACAGAAGAGCUGGGCUCAAGGAGGAUACAGGGCUUGUGCUGAGAAGACCCAGUGUCACCUUCCCAGGGAAUGACGAAUCCUAUGACGCUCAAGUGUGCUUUCUGAAAGGAGUUCAAGAAACAGAAGCAAUUUGAGAUUGGGGUUAAACCUGGCUCUGUCUUCACUGCAGGUAUUUUCUAUUUUAUUUACUUACUAGAGAGAGUCAGAGAGAGUGACAGAGUGCAUGAGCAGGAGGAGAGGAAGGAGCAGGCUCCCCACUGAGCAGGGAGCUCGAUGCGGGGCUCAAUCCCAGGACCCCAAGAUCAUGACCUGAGCCGAAGGCAAACGUUUAACCAACUGGGCCAGCCAGGUACCCCUUUUCUCCCUUUUCUUUUCUUUUUCCUUUUUAAAGAUUUUAUUUUCAUGGUGCCAUCUUGAUCACUGACAACCACAAACCUUCUUAUGUGACAGAGCUGUGGUUUGAACACAGACUUGGAUAUGCCAGCCUAAACUUGGUUAUGCUGAGACAGGGCCAAUAAAAGCUGAGAAAUUGGCUUAGUCUUCCUGAAGAUACAGGCUACACAUGCAAGUAUAUCAUAGUUGUUAUUUUUGAACAGGCAAUAACUCAUUAAAGGAACUUUUUUUUAUCAUUUUAUCUAUCAUUUUCAUUUCUUUUAUCUCAUUUAUAUAUUUACAUGUUUCUAUAUAAAUACAUAUUUAUAUAUAAUAAAAAUUAUAUAUUUAUCCAUCAUUAUUAUCAUGGUAAUAUAAUAUAAUAAUAUAAUGAUAUCCAUUAUUAUCACUGAUUAAUAUUAUUAAUGGAAAAUUUUAAUCUAGAACUUAACUAUAUUCCAUGCAAAGUGCUUUUUGUGCCUUAUCUCAUCUAAUACACACAUGUACACAAACAGGAUCUGAUAAAGCAGAUGCAAGCAUCAUCCCCAUUUUACAGGUGACAAAAUUAAGGCUUUAAAUACUGUAUAGCCCAAACAGUCUUGAAAAAGAACAAAGUUGGAGGACUCCCAUUCCCUGAUUUUAGAACUUAACUACAAAGCUGCAGUAAUUGAAACAAUGUGGUUCUGGCCCAAAGACAGAUAUGUCGACCAACAGAUUAGAAUAGAGAGCCUAGAAAUAAACUCUUGUGUUUUUGGUCACAUGAACUGUUGACAAGGGAGCCAAGAGACAUGCAAUGAGAGGAAAGACCAUCUUAUCGACACAUGCUGCUGGGGAAACUGGGCAUAAGCUUGCAAAUAAUAACCCUUACCUAACGCCAUAUACAAAAAUUAGCUCCAGUUGGAGCAAGGAUCUCCACAUAAGAGCUACAAUGAUAAGACUCUUAGAAGAAAACAGGACAACAGCUUCAUGAGGUUGGAGUUGGCAAUGACUUCUUGGAUGCAACACCAGAGGCACAGGUAAUUAAAGAAUUGUACAAACUGGACUUCAUGAAAAUUAAAAAAUUGUGUGCAUUGAAAGACACGGUCAAUGGAGGAAUGAGGCAACCCAUAAAAUGCGAGAUGAUAUUUGCAAAUCAUAGCUGAUAAGGGAUUAAUAUCCAGAAUAUAAAUAUAUAUAUACAUAUAUAUAUAUUUAUGAUUAAAACACAACGACAGGAAAACUCAAACAGCCCAGUGGACAAAGCACUUGAGUAGAUGUUUCUCCAAGGAAUACACACAAAUGGCUGUUAUUCACAUGAAAAGAUGGCACUAAUUAGUAGGGAAACACAGACAAAACCACAAUGAGAUGAUGCUUCACACCUGUUGUAGGACGGCAAUUAUCAAAAAACAAACAAACAGAAAAUAACAAGGGCAGAAGAGGAUGUGGGGAGAUUGGAGCCCUGUGCCCCAUUGGUGGGCACGUGUUCCAGUCAUUGUGCAAAACUAGUUGGUAGUUGCUUCAAAAACUAAAUAUAGGAUUAUCAUAAGGUCCAGCAAUUUCACUUCUAGAUAUAUAUCUAAAAGAUCAGGUGAAAUCUCCAAAGAUCCUUGUUCACUCGUGCUCAGAGCAGGAUUACUCAUAAUAGUUAAAAGGCAGAAGCAACCAAAUGUCGAGGAACAGGUAUACAGAAUGUGGUGUACGCAUAUAAGGGAAUAUUAAUCAGUCCCCAAAGAGAAGGGAAUUUCAACAUAUGCUACAGCAUGGAUAAAUCUUGAAGACAUUAUGCUGAGUAAAGUAAACGGUGAACCAGUCACCAAAGGGCAAAUAUGGUAUGGCUCCCCAUAUGGGAAAUGCUGAGAGUAGUCAAAUUCACAGAGACAGAAAGUAGGACAGUAGUUGCCAGGGGCUGGGAGGAAGGGAGAAGACGGAGUUAGUGUUAAUGGUGUGAUGGUUAAUUUUAUGGCCACGGGGCUGCCCAGAUAUCAGGUUAAGCAUUAUUUCUGGAUGUGCCUUCGAGGCUGUGGAGAGCCCGGACUAAUAUAAAUGGAUACAGGGUUUCUGUUUUGCAAGGCAAGAAGGGUUCUGGAGAUGGAUGGUGGGGAAGUCUGGAUCGUGUAUAAUGCCACUGAACUGUGCCUUGAAAAACAAUUAAAACGAUAAAUUUUAUGUUAUAUGUAUUUUCCCAUAAUUAAAAAAAAUGGGGGAACAAAAGAAUAGCGCAAUUUGCUCUCAGCCACACAACUAGCAGAUGAUGGAGUUUGGAUUUAAAGUCGGAAUUUUGGAACACUGAAAAAAAUAAAAUUAAGGUGUUAAAAAAAAAUAAUAAAGCCAUGGCUUAAAUAGCUAUGUAAAAAAAAAAAAAAAAUUAAAAAAAAGAAAAUAAAGUUGGGUCUUUGGGAUUCCAAAGUUCUGAUUCAACACCAGGCAGUGGGUCUGUCUGUGGGACUGAGGCUGAUCAUAGGUUGCUUUAUAGAAUAUUUUACAGUUGAGGUGGCUGGCUUUGUGCCCUGCUACUCUGAGAACCCUGGGAAACAACCACCCACAAGGCAGAGAGAGCGGGGGCUGGGGUUGGGCCUUGGGGAAGUCUGCACAACCCCAGACGGGAAGCCAUAGGGAUAGUAAACAGGUGGGGCAUGGACCCUGGUCACCAUUCCCUCUGUGUUCCCCUACGUAUCUGCAGCUUCCCAAGCACAAGGCUUUAUCUGCUAUGGCCCGUGGGAGGUGGGGAGGAUGGAGGCCAUUCCUGACCCCAGGCUCCUCCUCUCUGCAGCUCAGCCGCCGUGCCUUCUGCCCCUGCUGCAGAGCAUAUAAGAAAGAAAUUGGGAUCUGGUGGGGGAAAUGACCCAAAUGAGAUAGAAAUCCCUCACGGCACCUGGAAAAUUCUACUGUCUAAGUGGGAAUAUGAAGGAUGGUGACAGAACAGAUACCAAGUUCACAAAUGUGGGAAAAUGUCUUUCUCUGUCACCCUCAGUUUUCAGGGACAGACACUGGGACAAGGUGCCAGUAGCUUUUUAGCAACCGCUGCUGAUGUUUUAUGAAUCUACUGUGUGUCAGGUAGCCUGUUGUUUGCCCUCUUCCUCCACCUUCAGGAAUAGUGGUUGGAAAUUACUAGUUGGUUCCUCUCUCCCUUGGGUCCCAUGACAUACCACAGAA